UUAGCAGGAAGAGUGACUAUG
rnacentral:miRNA from 1 species